AGAUGAAGCGAACCGGAACGCAAAAAUCGGUUUCGAGUGCCGUUCUAUCUAAGAAAGUCCCCGAGCAGUUCGAGAAGUAUUCACUCUGGACCCUCGUCAAGUUCA